UACAGAGGUGGCAAGCGUUGUUCGGAAUUACUGGGCGUAAAGGGCGCGUAGGCGGUUUGUCGCGUCUGCUGUGAAAACUCGGGGCUUAACCCCGGGCCUGCAGUGGGUACGGGCAGACUAGAGUGCGGUAGGGGAGACUGGAAUUCCUGGUGUAGCGGUGAAAUGCGCAGAUAUCAGGAGGAACACCGGUGGCGAAGGCGGGUCUCUGGGCCGUAACUGACGCUGAGGAGCGAAAGCGUGGGGAGCGAACAGG
rnacentral:rRNA from 1 species